rnacentral:rRNA from 1 species
UAAUACAUGGGGUGCAAACGUUGCUCGGAAUCAUUGGGCGUAAAGCGCGCGUAGGCGGUUAUUUAAGUUGGAUGUGAAAGCCCUCGGCUUAACUGAGGAAGUGCAUCCAAAACUGAAUAGCUAGAGUACGAAAGAGGGUCGCGGAAUUCCCGGUGUAGAGGUGAAAUUCGUAGAUAUCGGGAGGAACACCGGUGGCGAAGGCGGCGACCUGGGUCGAGACUGACGCUGAGGCGCGAAAGCGUGGGGAGCAAACAGGAUUAGAUACCCUGGUAGUCCACGCCGUAAACGAUGGGUGCUAGAUGUUUCUGGUAUUGACCCCGGAGGCGUCGUAGCUAACGCGUUAAGCACCCCGCCUGGGGAGUACGGCCGCAAGGCUA